GAUGAACGCUGGCGGCGUGCCUAAUACAUGCAAGUCGAGCGAACAGACGAGGAGCUUGCUCCUCUGACGUUAGCGGCGGACGGGUGGGUAACACGUGGAUAACCUACCUAUAAGACUGGGAUAACUUCGGGAAACCUGAGCUAAUACCGGAUAAUAUAUUGAACCGCAUGGUUCAAUAGUGAAAGACGGUUUUGCUGUCACUUAUAGAUGGAUCCGCGCCGCAUUAGCUAGUUGGUAAGGUAACGGCUUACCAAGGCAACGAUGCGUAGCCGACCUGAGAGGGUGAUAGGCCACACUGGAACUGAGACACGGUCCAGACUCCUACGGGAGGCAGCAGUAGGGAAUCUUCCGCAAUGGGCGAAAGCCUGACGGAGCAACGCCGCGUGAGUGAUGAAGGUCUUCGGAUCGUAAAACUCUGUUAUUAGGGAAGAACAAAUGUGUAAGUAACUAUGCACGUCUUGACGGUACCUAAUCAGAAAGCCACGGCUAACUACGUG
rnacentral:rRNA from 1 species